GUCCGGAAUUACUGGGCGUAAAGAGCUCGUAGGUGGUUUGUCGCGUUGUUCGUGAAAUCUCACGGCUUAACUGUGAGCGUGCGGGCGAUACGGGCAGACUUGAGUACUGCAGGGGAGACUGGAAUUCCUGGUGUAGCGGUGGAAUGCGCAGAUAUCAGGAGGAACACCGGUGGCGAAGGCGGGUCUCUGGGCAGUAACUGACGCUGAGGAGCGAAAGCGUGGGGAGCGAACAGGAUUAGAUACCCUGGUAGUCCACGCCGUAAACGGUGGGUACUAGGUGUGGGUUUCCUUCCUUGGGAUCCGUGCCGUAGCUAACGCAUUAAGUACCCCGCCUGGGGAGUACGGCCGCAAGGCUAAAACUCAAAGAAAUUGACGGGGGCCCGCACAAGCGGCGGAGCAUGUGGAUUAAUUCGAUGCAACGCGAAGAACCUUACCUGGGUUUGACAUGCACAGGACGCCGGCAGAGAUGUCGGUUCCCUUGUGGCCUGUGUGCAGGUGGUGCAUGGCUGUCGUCAGCUCGUGUCGUGAGAUGUUGGGUUAAGUCCCGCAACGAGCGCAAACCUGGUCUCAUGUUGCCAG
rnacentral:rRNA from 1 species